UUUCCUGUUGUUUUGUUGAUGCUCUAGAAGGAGGGACUGGGUUUGGUUUGGAGAAUACUGUGGUGCUCGAAUAGAAAGCGAAAGAAGAGGAUUUGGUUUCGACAACACCCACUUUGUGGUUUUGGUGGGUCUGGCGAGAGCGAGGAUUGCAGUAGUUUUUGUGUACUUUGGUGUGUAAUUGAUAUGGGUUGGCUUUAGCAUCUUGGUGAUUGAUUGGAAAGGUUCUAAGCUGCACUAUCUUAGGCUUAACACAGAGUGGCAGUGGUGCAGUUUUUUUGCUGUUGGUUCUGUUGGGAUCAAACCAGGUGCUGGGCAACAAAGGGUAAAGUGUUUGGUGAAUGUGAAAGAUUUUCCGAAUAUUAUCGUUUGCUUAGCCCAGGUGAAUGGGUACAUUUGAGUAGAUGAAGGUGAAAUGAACGUUAGGUCCAUAAUUACCUGGA